rnacentral:tRNA from 1 species
UCCUCGGUAGCUCAGUUGGUAGAGCAAGCGGCUGUUAACCGCUGGGUCACAGGUUCGAGUCCUGUCCGGGGAGCCA